GAACGGUAACAGGUCUAGCUUGCUAGAUGCUGACGAGUGGCGGACGGGUGAGUAACGCGUAGGAAUUAGUCUAUGAGAGUGGGACAACACGGGGAAACUCGUGCUAAUACCACAUACGUUCUUCGGAAGAAAGGCUGGGGUAACUCAGUCGCUCAUAGGGGAGCCUGCGUUGGAUUAGCUAGUUGGUGGGGUAAAGGCCUACCAAGGCGACGAUCCAUAGCUGUUCUGAGAGGAAGGACAGCCACACUGGGACUGAGACACGGCCCAGACUCCUACGGGAGGCAGCAGUGGGGAAUAUUGGACAAUGGGCGCAAGCCUGAUCCAGCAAUACCGCGUGUGUGAAGAAGGUCUUCGGAUUGUAAAGCACUUUAAGUUGGGAGGAAGGGUUGUAGAUUAAUACUCUGCAAUUUUGACGUUACCGACAGAAUAAGCACCGGCUAACUCUGUG
rnacentral:rRNA from 1 species